rnacentral:rRNA from 1 species
AUACGAAGGUCCCAAGCGUUAUUCGGAAUCACUGGGCGUAAAGAGUACGUAGGCGGUUUGGCAAGUCAGGUGUGAAAUCCCGGAGCUCAACUCCGGAACUGCAUCCGAUACUGCCAGACUUGAGUAAUGGAGAGGCAGGUGGAAUUCUCGGUGUAGCAGUGAAAUGCGUGGAUAUCGAGAGGAAGACCAAUGGCGAAGGCAGCCUGCUGGACAUUUACUGACGCUGAGGUACGAAGGCUAGGGGAGCGAAAGGGAUUAGAUACCCCAGUAGUCC